GUUACAGCAGCCGCGGUAAUACGUAGGGCGCGAGCGUUGUUCGGAUUUAUUGGGCGUAAAGAGCGCGUAGGCGGGUGCGCAAGUCGGUUGUGAAAUCCUCUGGCUCAACCAGAGAAUUGCAGCCGAAACUGCGCAUCUUGAAUCCAGCAGAGGGAAUUGGAAUCCUAGGUGUAGCGGUGAAAUGCGUAGAUAUCUAGGAGAACACCAGUGGCGAAGGCGGAUUCCUGGGCUGGUAUUGACGCUGAGGCGCGAAAGCGUGGGGAGCAAACAGGAUUAGAUACCCCAGUAGUCC
rnacentral:rRNA from 1 species